GCUCGGUUGUGCAAUAAACCAGCAAGUUACGCACUACUGAAGAACCAACGUUUUAAAAUAGGUUUACCAUCAAACACUGCCGUUCGUCAAAAGCCAUCUAGAAAAGUGGUGGCAUCAGAUGCAUGUCUCUUCACGGGUCGGGGUCAGAGAAGUAUUGGAUUCCCAGACCAGAAACCCGUUCCCGUUCGAGACAAGAGCAUCACACCCAGACAGACCCACGUGGCUCCUCUUCCUCUGACCGUAGGGCAAAGGCAGCGAUCCACAGAAACAGAAGCUUCAUUAAUGUUUUUUGUUUUUUUGUUUUUUUUAAAGAAUUGUUACUUCAGUAACCGGAACUCCUCUCGAAGAUAAAAGUACAUAAAAUCACAAAGCACAUCUUGCAAAAAUACAGUGAACUGUAAUACAACAUUCUGUGAUUGCUGUAACACGUCCUUUGGGGAGUGUUUACAGCAACACAUUUAAAAAGAAUAAAUCUGUUGCCACCGUCCCCAAAUAAGACAGACACAUUAAGCAGUAUAUAAAUUUAAGAAUUAGGGGGUUUACAAAUGGUCAGGAAAAGGAUGUAAAACAGUAAACCCAUUUUCGUCUUUUUAGUUUUUAUCUUUCAUUACAGAAGUUGCAUAAUGCAAAUUGUUAAUAAUGGUCGUGUCUUAACUCCGCCUUUUCAAUGUGUACUUUAAUUUAUGCGGUGCAUUUAUUUUACAUGUCAAAACGGCCUUUUCCCCCAUAACUCCUUGUAGCAACACAUCAAGAACUUAAAAAAGUUACCCAACUGUGGGUGUUAGCUAAAAUACUUAAAAACCUACCUUCUAUAAAGAAUAAAAUAUUCCACCUCAAUAACUAAUCUCUAACAGAAUAAAUCAAAGAUAUUUUAAGUAUGCCUAUACUUAAAAUAACCUAUACUUGCCUACACUUAACAUUAACACACAUGUGCACAUUACUAACAAAAGUGUCUUUUUUAAUGCCCAGAAGCCUCUAUUUGGAAUAACCUCUUUGAAUCUCAAAACUGCAAAUACCCUUUUCCAUGACUUAACAUCCAGAACAGAUAAGGAUUAGCAGUAGAGAACCUUUCAGUGUGUGUUUACAUUCUAGCUUCUUUCAUUUGAAGAAGUAAAUGCCUUCUCUUAAUUUUAGACUUCAUCAGCAUGGGCAAAAAAGCAUUACAUAAAACAUACAAAAUAGUUAUUGCACAAAAAUGACCAGGUUUUAUUUGAGGCAGUUUUAUUUGAACUUCAAUGUUAAUUCCAUGCUGUCUCUCUGUAAGAACAAUACAGACUCUAUGUUUGUGUUUCCGGUCAAAUUUCCAGUAGUAUAAAUUAGCUUCACGUUAAAUAUGAACAGAGUACAGAAGAAAUUGCGGGCAUUAUAUAAAUUUGGGGGAUGAAGCGAAAUAGACUAUUUCAUAUACUUACGUGGGCUUAAAAUCAACUUUAUUAGUGCUUUUUAUUCUUUUCAAAACAGCCACUGGAGACCUGCAUUUGAGUUCAGUUUUUUUUGUUGUUGUUUUUUUGUUUUUUUAGAGCUGCAACUAUCCAUCCACCACCAUCAUGUGCGUAAUACAGUAUUUUAGCACAAAUUACAGUCCGGACCACUGCUAAGUAUCACUACGUAACUCCUACUUUGUGAUAUUAAGCAUUUUGCUCCAUAUGGAUGUCAAAAAACUUGCAAACUUACACUGAAAAUCUAAAUUAACAAAAAGAGCACUUUAUUUUGACUUGCCCUUUCCAGAAUUUUAAUCAUUUUAACUGCAUUUGAUAAUUGCACUAACACAGAAAUAUUACAGCUGCAACAACUAAUAGCCUAAUAGUAGACACAUCAGUAAUAGUAAUAAAAGUUAAUUCUGUAAUUACAUUAAGAAAAACUCAAAAUAUAUCCAGCAACUGAUAAAAUGUUGAGGAAUAAA